rnacentral:rRNA from 1 species
UAAGACGAAGGUGGCAAGCGUUGUUCGGUAUCACUGGGCUUAAAGCGUGUGUAGGCGGAAAGGCAAGCGUCUUGUGAAAUCCCCCGGCUCAACCGGGGAAUUGCUUGACGAACUGCUUUUCUUGAGGCAAGUAGGGGUGCAUGGAACUCUUGGUGGAGCGGUGGAAUGCGUAGAUAUCAAGAGGAACGCCGGUGGAGAAAUCGGUGCACUGGGCUUGCGUGGGUUCCCAAAAUGCAUUUACGGCAUUUUGGGGCCCCCCUGACGCUGAGACACGAAAGCGUGGGUAGCGAACGGGAUUAGAUACCCCGGUAGUCCACGCCGUAAACGAUGCCUACUAGGUUGUGGUGGUUCUGACACCAGCACAGCCGAAGCAAAAGUGUUAAGUAGGCCGCCUGGGGAGUACGGUCGCAAGGCUA